rnacentral:tRNA from 1 species
GGCCCUGUCGUCUAACGGCUCAGGACAUAGCCCUUUCAAGGCUGUAAUACGGGUUCGAUUCCCGUCGGGGUCA